CCCUGCUGGAGGUAUCGGAAGUGCGAAUGCUGACAUGAGUAGCGAUAAAGCGGGUGAAAGGCCCGCUCGCCGAAAGCCCAAGGUUUCCUGCGCAACGUUCAUCGGCGCAGGGUGAGUCGGCCCCUAAGGCGAGGCCGAAAGGCGUAGUCGAUGGGAAACAGGUUAAUAGUCCUGUACCUUUAUGCAAUGCGAUGGGGGGACGGAGAAGGUUAGGCAGGCCGGGUGUUGGAUGUCCCGGUUCAAGCGUGUAGGCGUGCCCGGUAGGCAAAUCCGCUGGGCUUAGCCGAGGCGUGAUGACGCAAGGCUCUUCGGGGCCCCAAGCUGCUCAGACCCCGCUUCCAGGAAAAGCCUCUAAGCUUCAGUUGCAUGAAGACCGUACCGCAAACCGACACAGGUGGGCAGGAUGAAGAUUCUAAGGCGCUUGAGAGAACUCAGGAGAAGGAACUCGGCAAAUUGAUACCGUAACUUCGGGAGAAGGUAUGCCCCGGUAGGCUGUAGGAGAACAUCCGAAGGCCGAUGGGGUCGCAGAGAAUCGGUGGCUGCGACUGUUUAAUAAAAACACAGCACUCUGCAAAGGCGAAAGCCGACGUAUAGGGUGUGACGCCUGCCCGGUGCCGGAAGGUUAAGUGAUGGGGUGCAAGCUCUUGAUCGAAGCCCCGGUAAACGGCGGCCGUAACUAUAACGGUCCUAAGGUAGCGAAAUUCCUUGUCGGGUAAGUUCCGACCUGCACGAAUGGCGUAACGAUGGCCACACUGUCUCCUCCUGAGACUCAGCGAAGUUGAAGUGUUUGUGAAGAUGCAAUCUCCCCGCUGCUAGACGGAAAGACCCCAUGCACCUUUACUGUAGCUUUGCAUUGGACUUUGAUGAGACUUGUGUAGGAUAGGUGGGAGGCUUUGAAACCGGGAUGCUAGUUCCGGUGGAGCCGUCCUUGAAAUACCACCCUGGUGUCAUUGAGGUUCUAACCUGGGCCCCUUAACGGGGUCGGGGACCGUGCAUGGCAGGCAGUUUGACUGGGGCGGUCUCCUCCCAAAGGGUAACGGAGGAGUUCGAAGGUUCGCUAGGUACGGUCGGACAUCGUACUGAUAGUGCAUUGGCAAAAGCGAGCUUGACUGCGAGACGUACAUGUCGAGCAGGUGCGAAAGCAGGACAAAGUGAUCCGGUGGUUCUGUAUGGAAGGGCCAUCGCUCAACGGAUAAAAGGUACGCUGGGGAUAACAGGCUGAUGACUCCCAAGAGUUCAUAUCGACGGAGUCGUUUGGCACCUCGAUGUCGGCUCAUCACAUCCUGGGGCUGUAGCCGGUCCCAAGGGUAUGGCUGUUCGCCAUUUAAAGUGGUACGUGAGCUGGGUUUAAAACGUCGUGAGACAGUUUGGUCCCUAUCUGCAGUGGGCGUUGGAGAUUUGACGGGGGCUGCUCCUAGUACGAGAGGACCGGAGUGGACGCACCGCUGGUGUACCGGUUGUGACGCCAGUCGCAUCGCCGGGUAGCUAUGUGCGGAAGAGAUAACCGCUGAAAGCAUCUAAGCGGGAAACUUGCCUGAAGAUGAGAUCUCCCGGAGGCUUGACCUCCCUGAAGGGUCGUCCAAGACCAGGACGUUGAUAGGCGCGGUGUGGAAGCGUGGUAACACGUUAAGCUAACGCGUACUAAUUGCCCGUGCGGCUUGAUCCU
rnacentral:rRNA from 1 species